AUACGAAGGGGGCAAGCGUUGUUCGGAAUAACUGGGCGUAAAGCGCACGUAGGCGGAAUGUUAAGUUAGAGGUGAAAUCCCAGGGCUCAACCCUGGAACUGCCUUUAAUACUGGCAAUCUAGAGACCGAGAGAGGUGAGUGGAAUUCCGAGUGUAGAGGUGAAAUUCGUAGAUAUUCGGAGGAACACCAGUGGCGAAGGCGGCUCACUGGCUCGGUACUGACGCUGAGGUGCGAAAGCGUGGGGAGCAAACAGGAGUAGAAACCCUAGUAGUCC
rnacentral:rRNA from 1 species